UUACACAGGGUCUGAUCCAAAGGCCAUUGAAGCCAAUGAGAGUCUUUUCAUUGAAUUCACUGGGCUUUGGAUCAGAUCAUAGAGAA
rnacentral:pre_miRNA from 1 species